rnacentral:lncRNA from 1 species
CAUUUUUCAAGAUGUUCAAUGACGAUUUUUUAGGCUAAGCGGAGUGAAAAGGGUUUUCCAUGAGAUGGGAGAUGAGAAGUAUUAGUCACACACAAAGCUUUUGAACAAGUGGAGUUGAAUUUAUUUUGAUUCUUCUAAAAUUUACCAAAAAUUAAACUCGAUUUACUCUUGCUAUAUUAAGCAUUAAGGAAUAUUUGGCUACAGCUAUGAAAACAUCUGUCAACAAAAUUAUAUAUAGACAUUAAGUAAGAAAGUGACUGAUAGAUGAAAUGGCAAUUGGCAAAGCAAGAAGAUUAGUUGGAAACUGGCCAGCACACAUUAGAGUCCUGCAUGGGGUUCUCACCUGGCCGUUAGGCUUGUCUCUAUAUGACAUAUAAAUGCUGAAAGUAGUCAUUUGAAGUUGUGCAUUCGUCAGAUGAUAAUUAGUCAAGACUCGCAAACAUAUCCGCAAAAAUCCCAAAUUCGUCUUUGAAAAUCAUUAAUACUUUGUGAACCUGUACCACAGGCACCUUAGCUGUUCAAUAUGGUGGACUUUUCUAAGGAUAAAUAAUCUUAGGAGUGUAAACUAUUAUUAGAGCUAUUAAUUGGCAACUUCUCGUACUUACACAGAAAGUGAUUUUUUCUAUUUCCAUAAAUAAGGACGUAUAUAAUUUAUUCUAAUAUGUUGAUUUGAUUUUAAAAUGUAAUAAUUUUUAAAAUUAUUUAAAUAGUAUUAAUAAAUUAUUUCAAUAUAUUUUCAUAAUAUUUUUAAAUAAGAAGUGUUAUUUGAUUCAUUUUAUUGGUCAACUAUAUAAUAUGACAUAAUUGUUUUGACAUCAAUUCCUCUCUCACUAUUACAAUCAGCACUUUUGUUACUUAUACGUAGGCAAAAUAUAACUUAAACACAAGUUAAAAUUAACAUGUUCCAAUUUUGACUGAAUUAAAAGGAUUCUAAAGAUGCACCAAGUAUUUAGAUGCCGAAAUUUCUUUUGCAGAUGAAAGAUGAGUUGUUUAUUAGUUAUUCUUGAAAUGUAUAGUUUACCUCAAUUUUAGAUAGAAAAUAUUUGUUUAUUACUUAUGGUUUUCUCUAAUGUGAAUUUUUUAUCUUUCUCUUUAUGGUUUUUGACUUUUCGUGUGAGUGUACCGUUUUUAAUUUGAUAGUUUAUGUAUUGUUGUUGUUGCAACAAGUCAAAUUGUUUUAUUGAACUCAAAAAUAUUAAAUAGAUGUGAAUUUCACAACUACAGCCGUAAACUAACAAGUUAAAUGCUUUUUAAGUAUUUAUGUGUGUGUGUGUGUAUAUAUAUAUAGACACACACACACAUAUAUAUACACACAUAUAUACAUAUAUAUAUAUACACACACACACCCUCUCCUCUCAAAGGCAUCACUUAUCAGUACCUUCUAAUGCCUUUUAAAUCAUUGAUGUUAAGAUUGAUUAUUAAAUACUUAGAAAUGAG